ACAAACAAACAGUGGCUUAGUCGUCGCCUUCACCGAGCAAUAGGCAGAGGUUACGAGCUAAAUAUCAAGCGAUUAAGAAAAAGGACUUCCCUUUAGAGAGCGCUGAAAAAGCUUUUUAGAUCACGUGCUGUUCGUCGCAGGUCCAAGAUGUUGAUCGGAUCACCCGUCGCUAUCCACACACCUCUCCCAAUGUGUAGCCCCUCGUCAGCUGUUGGCCUCCUCCAGCAACACUUCCCCGCUGCAAAACAGCUGUAAUCAGACACAAGCCGCUGUGCACCACGGCUCUUCACACAGUGGUCAACAACUCCAGAACGCCUCUCAGAGUCCUGACAGGAGUCAGCCUGCAGAAAGCAAUGGAGCCCAGUCAAAAUAUAUGACAAUGGGUAGAGUUGUAGAUACUACACAUACCUAUGCAAACAUCAACCUAGAGAGUGUACCUCAGCAAUCAAAUGACAAACACAUAUAUGAAGUUAUGGCUCCUCAGCAGAAGCCCAGAGAAAUGAAGUCUGACUGACUGUGUGGAGAUCCUCAAACUAAAUGUGCUGUUGUAGCAUUUUGUUAAGUCGUCUUAGUAUGCUAAUAUAGCACUUAUGAAUGUGUCAAUUAUGUUCAGUUUACUAAAUUAAUAUUGGAACAUACUAUUAAUGUUUUUAUAAUGUUUUUGGCACAAGGCAAAACCAUGUCAAUUAACAUGUUACGUUUUGGUCUACUCUGUGAAAUUGAUAUAAAGUACUAUACAGUA